rnacentral:rRNA from 1 species
CAGUAGCCGCGGUGAAUACGUAGGGUGCAAGCGUUAAUCGGAAUUACUGGGCGUAAAGCGUGCGCAGGCGGUUAUAUAAGACAGAUGUGAAAUCCCCGGGCUCAACCUGGGAACUGCAUUUGUGACUGUAUAGCUAGAGUACGGCAGAGGGGGAUGGAAUUCCGCGUGUAGCAGUGAAAUGCGUAGAUAUGCGGAGGAACACCGAUGGCGAAGGCAAUCCCCUGGGCCUGUACUGACGCUCAUGCACGAAAGCGUGGGGAGCAAACAGGAUUAGAUACCCCGGUAGUCCCUGUCUCUUAUU